AAAAACCAAUCUAGCCGCUCCUGGUGCUGCUUGUGUGCUCGUUCCCUGCGGACCUGGUACCUCUUUUGUGAAGCGGCAGCUGAGGAGACUCCCGCGCUCGCCAUGGCGGACGAAAAGCCCAAGGAAGGAGUCAAGACUGAGAACAACGAUCAUAUUAAUUUGAAGGUGGCGGGGCAGGAUGGUUCUGUGGUGCAGUUUAAGAUUAAGAGGCAUACACCACUUAGUAAACUAAUGAAAGCCUAUUGUGAACGACAGGGUUUGUCAAUGAGGCAGAUCAGAUUCCGAUUUGACGGGCAGCCAAUCAGUGAAACAGACACACCUGCACAGUUGGAGAUGGAAGAUGAAGAUACAAUUGAUGUAUUCCAGCAGCAGACAGGAGGUGUCUACUAAAAAGGGAACCUGCUACUUUACUCCAGAAUUCUGUUCCUCCAGACCAAGAAGACAUUCUCAAUUAGAAAACCGCGAUUUGGUUCCACCACAUCCUGACUACUACAGUAUAGUUUCUCUAUUCUUUCAUUUUCCCCUUCCCCAUUCCUUUAUUGUACAUAAAGUAACAGGUGUAUGUGCACAAGCAUAUUGCAUUUUUUUUAACUAAAUGGCCAAUGGUAUGUUUUGAUUGACAUCAAAUGGAGAUGGGAUGGGGAAAAACACUGACUCUGUGAAAAUACCCCCUUUUCUCCAUUAGUGGCCUGCUCAUCAGCUCUUAUCUUUAUAUCCCAGUAAGUUAUUUUGCUCUCACUGUUUAACAAAAAAAAGAACAACAUAAAAAUUCUUGCAUACCUUGUUUGAUUGGAGAAUUUUAAUGUUUUUCAUUUAUCAUUG